rnacentral:rRNA from 1 species
AUUGAACGCUGGCGGCAGGCCUAACACAUGCAAGUCGAGCGGAUGAAGGGAACUUGCUCCUGGUUUCAGCGGCGGACGGGUGAGUAGUGCCUAGGAAUCUGCCUGGUAGUGGGGGAUAACGUCCGGAAACGGGCGCUAAUACCGCAUUCGUCCUGAGGGAGAAAGUGUGGGAUCUUCGGACCUCACGCUAUCAGAUGAGCCUAUGUCGGAUUAGCUAGUUGGUGGGGUAAAGGCCUACCAAGGCGACGAUCCGUAACUGGUCUGAGAGGAUGAUCAGUCACACUGGAACUGAGACACGGUCCAGACUCCUACGGGAGGCAGCAGUGGGGAAUAUUGGACAAUGGGCGAAAGCCUGAUCCAGCCAUGCCGCGUGUGUGAAGAAGGUCUUCGGAUUGUAAAGCACUUUAAGUUGGGAGGAAGGGCAGUAAGUUAAUACCUUGCUGUUUUGACGUUACCAACAGAAUAAGCACCGGCUAACUUCGUG